rnacentral:lncRNA from 1 species
UAAAUUCAACGAAAUCAUUACAUCUGUUAAGGAUAUCGAACAAAAGAACAGUUUUUUGAUUAGAUCAAUUAUCAAUUACUUUGUGUGCCUAGUUACGAUCCUAGUUACAAUGUUUAUCUUUUUCCUAUUGGUUUGUAAUCGGAUCUUUUAGCGUCACCACGCACAUAUAAAAGCUAAGUUAGCGUCCCUUUAAGCCGGAGUUUCGCAAGAUUUCGCCUUGAAUAGCAGUACCUUCGUUCUUUCGUUCCAAACCUUUGGCACAAGCGGGACCGAUAUGCUGGUCUUUGUCGUACUCAGCUCAGUGAAUCCUGAUAUUUUACCGUUAUAAACUGAGGAAAUUUACGGUGUAGAAGAAUGGGAGUAUUCAAAUCCAACCCACUCACUACAACUGCUUCUGUCAUUGUUUUAUUACUAUUCUUUGGAAAAGGACAAUGCGAUUCAAUUUGUCCCAAUGGCAUAACGAACAUCACAGCUUCCAGUGGUGAGCUUAAAUAUCCUGAGUCAGGUACUUAUGGUAAGAAUGAGACCAAAUGCUGGAG